rnacentral:tRNA from 1 species
ACCAUUGUGGCAGAAUAAUGCAUCAGAUUUAAACUCUGAAAAUAGAUCCCUCUCUCUGGUA